GGGGCUGUAGCUCAAUCGGGAGAGCGUUUGACUGGCAGUCAAAAGGUAGAGGGUUCGAAUCCCUCCAGCUCCACCA
rnacentral:tRNA from 2 species